rnacentral:rRNA from 1 species
UACAGAAGGUGCUAGCGUUGUUCGGAAUCAUUGGGCGUAAAGGGCGUGUAGGCGGUUUGUUAAGUCAUGUGUGAAAUCCCUCGGCUCAACCGGGGAACGACGCAUGAAACUGGCAAGCUAGAGUACCAAAGAGGGGGGUGGAAUUCCCGGUGUAGCGGUGAAAUGCGUAGAUAUCAGGAAGAACACCUAUGGCGAAGGCAGCUUCCUGGUCCAAUUCUGACGCUGAGGUGCGAAAGCGUGGGUAGCGAACGGG